rnacentral:lncRNA from 1 species
GUGGGUUAAUUUGGGAUCGAGGUUGAGUAGUGCACAUGAGAACGGUUGCAUCAAAAGGGUGUUGUGGUACAUAAUUCAGGGAUUAUACAUAUCGACAAGAAAUUGUUUGUUCCUCUAGACUUCUUUCUAGAGUCAAAACUUCUCAUCCUCAUUUUUAUCUCUAUCAUUAGUUACUCGCUAUUUCAAUAGCUUCCAUUAUAAUUAAAUAGUUUUAAGUGUUGAGAAUUCGAGUUUAUUACAUAAAGUUAAAAUGACCUUCUGGAUUCUUAUACUAUGUCGGUUUUGUAAGUUGGACACUUUUACUUAUAUGUUUGUCAUCUGGACCCUUUAACCAUUAAAAAAUAACAUUUUAAACACUUUUUCGGUGAGUGUGUUACACUCGCUCCACGUCAGCUGCCACAUCUGUCACGUCGUUUUCCACAUCAUUUUUAUAUAUAAAAAAUAUUAACUAUUAAAAUAAUAAAUAAAUAAAUAAAUAAACAAACACCCCCCCUCCCUCUCUCUCUUCCCUUUUUUCUUUCUUUUUCUGCCUUUCUCGUUCUUUCUUUCUCCAUUUCUUAUUUCUUCUUCUUUUUCUUAUUCUUCUUCCUUCUCUUCUCAUUCUUCUUUUCCUUUAUCAUCUUCAUCUUGUUAUUCUUCUUGCUCUACGAAAAAAAAUUAAAAAGUAAGGAUCGAAAAAUUUAAGAAGUAUGAAAAGAAAGAUUUUUGGAGAUUUUUGUAAUUUGGGUGAUUCAAGAAAUUUGAAAUUCAACGUAAAAACUCAAUUUUUAUACUUUCUUUAAAUUUUUUGUGAUUUGGGUAAUUUGAGAAACUUGAAAGUCAAUAUAAAAAUUCAAUUUUUAUGCUUUCCUCGAAAUUUUUGUGAUUUGGGUAAUUCAAUUUUUUUUUACAAUGAACAACAACAAUAAUAUCAACCACAACAAAGAAUUGACAAAAAAAAAUAAAAAAAUCAAAGACCCUUUUCAGGGAUUGCCCAGAUCUGUUGGGCGAAGGGAAAGUGAGGAGUGAGUGCGCAAAUAGAAGAAAUACGAGGAAGGGGAAGGAGGGAGAGACGUUUGUUGCUUUUGAUGAGGAAGGCAAUGGCUUGUUUGAGUUCGAAUGGAGAAGUGAAAGAUGAAUAAUGAAGGGCGGUUGUACAUUAUUCUUGGCAUCAAUGGAGGGUUUGAAUUUUUUUGAGGGAAAAUGGUGAAGUAAAAAUGCUAAGGAAAGUGAUUUUCUUGUACAUUGCUGUUGGUAUCAAGUGAGGGGUGCUGCGAUGAGGUUGGGUGGGGUUGGGGAUGUUGGGACGGGGCUGGGUGGGAUGGGGGUGNNNNNNNNNNNNNNNNNNNNNNNNNNNNNGGGAGGGGGGGGGGGUGACCUUUUUUUUAUUUUUUAUUUUUAAAUUUAUUAUUUUUUAAUUUAUUAAAAUAUUUUAAAAUUUAAAAACCGAAAAAAAUUGAGUGCCACUUUUUUUUUUUAAAAAAUAUUUUAAUAUAAAAUUGAUCAAAAAUUGACCCCCAUUUGCACCCUCAGGCGUGUGACUACACUCUCUUUAUCCUAGUCAGCAUUUGAAUGCCACAUAGGCUCGGUCAAUGGUCGAAGGAUGCAAAAUAUUGCAUUUUAAUGGGUUAAAAUGUUCAGAUGACAAACAUAUAAGUAGAAAUGUCCAACUUACAAAACCGACAUAGUACAGGGGUGUAGAAAAUCAUUUUGCCUUACAUAAAUGCAACACUUUCAUCAAUUAAUCAAAUUAAUUCUUGGGAAUCGAAAAAUGUUACAUAACAACAAAAACCAGAACCAUAGAGAUCUUAAUUCUUAACAAAAUUCAAAUGAUGAAAAAGAAAAAAUACACAUCUAAUUAAUUCAACUAAAAUCUAUAGAGAAAAAAUAGAAUUCCCUUCUUCUUGAAAAUCAGAGUCCUCAAAAUCCUCUUCAAAUAUAGUUUCAAGCUGGGGAGAAACAGAAAUCUUAUUUGGUGUCAUGAGAAUUGCUGGAACAGCAACUUCCAUCCAACACAUUUGGUCACCAUUCAUAAACUUGGCCAUUUGAUCUAGCUAGCAAACGAGUGUCACAACUAUGAAAUUUUUAAUUUUUUUGAAAUUAAAUCAAGUCUAUGUCGUCACAAAAUUAAAUCAAGUCUAUGUCGUCACAAGAUAGAGAUAAGAUAGUAUACACACCACCUUUCUCAAAGUUCCACUUGCGAAAAUUACGCAGAAUAUAUUGUUGUAAUUAUAAGAAUGAAACACGAUAAUAGUUCAGAUAACCAACCAGAUGAACUACUAAGAUUUUCUGAGUGUCUUUGGUACUACUUUUGAGUGUGUUUCUUGUGGUGUUUGAGAUUGUUAUUGUAAUUGCAAGAAUGAAACUUAGCUUAAGGAGAAUGAACCUUUCACCAACAAGUUAAAAGUUCAGAUAGUAGAAAGCCAACCAACUGAACUAUUAAGAUUUUUUUUAGCCAAAGAGUCUUUACUACUACUUUAUUUUGAGUAUAUUUCUUGAAAUGUAUGAGAGAUGAAAGGGAGGGGAUAAUAUUUGAAGGUGGGAGGGAGGUGAGGAAGAAUGUUGUUGUUGUAAUUGCAAGAAUCAACUUUCACCGACAAGAUAAAAGUUCAGAUAAUCAAUCAUGGCAACUAAUAUUUUGAGUGUAUUUUUUGUGGUGUUUGGGAAGGGAGGGAGGGACUAAUAUUUAUAGGUGGGAGCAGUGAGGAAGAAUGAAGAAUUGAAGGGGUUGGGGUUGGGUAGUGGCGGAAUCAAAAUUUUCAUUGAGUUUAA